UAAAACUUUUUAUUUUAAUUGGGGCGAUUUAACUAAAUAUUAAAAACUUUUUUAAUAAAAAAUAUGAACCGUUAUUAACGGGCAUUUGAAAAAAAUACUCUAGGGAUAACAGCGUAAUAAUUUUUGAUAGUUCUUAUAGACAAAAUAGUUUGCGACCUCGAUGUUGGAUUAGGAUAUUUUUUUA
rnacentral:rRNA from 1 species